rnacentral:rRNA from 1 species
GACGUAGGGCGCGAGCGUUGUCCGGAUUUAUUGGGCGUAAAGAGCUCGUAGGCGGCCUGUUACGUCUGCUGUGAAAUCCCCGGGGCUUAACCCCCGGGCGUGCAGUGGAUACGGGCAGACUAGAGGUAGGCAGGGGAGAGCGGAACUCCUGGUGUAGCGGUGGAAUGCGCAGAUAUCAGGAAGAACACCGGUGGCGAAGGCGGCUCUCUGGGCCUUACCUGACGCUGAGGAGCGAAAGCGUGGGUAGCGAACAGG